CAGGAGAUAGUUUAUUAAAAACAGUAGCUUUGGGAGUUGUAGAGGCGAGUUUAAAUCUCGUUUUCCUGA
rnacentral:tRNA from 1 species